GGAAUGAAGCCUACUUGAUCUUGGUGGAUGAUUUUUCUGAUGUGCUCUUGGAUUUAGUUUGAUCCCCACAUUGUGGAAGGAAGGAGAAGACACUGUCUUCUGAACUCCAAACAUGUCCCGUGGCAUAUAUGGGCUUCCUCCACCUCCAAAAGAAAUGAUUGAUCGAAUGAAUAAAUAAAUACAAAAGAAAGUUAAAAGUUAAAUAAAUAUAGAAUUAAAGAAGAUGUCACUGUUCACUGCCUUGAUUUCAUCAUCACCUCUUUAUAGGUCCAAGUAACGUUCACUGCAUGAGCAUGUGCAAACUCAGUGGUUACACCCCUGAAGAAAAAUGGCUCCCCCUUCACCAAGAAGGCAUCAAUUGUCAAUGGCACCUUAGAUGGCGGAGAGGGGAUGUGCUCAUGUGUACACCCACUAACCAUAUUGGAAUUGACUGGCUUAAUCUUGCAAACAUUUUGGUCAGUUCUAGACGAGGCCUCAUGGGGGAGCUGCUCUCUCACUGUAGAUAUGCCAGAUCUGUCGUCUCUAACAAGGACUGACCUUUAUGGAUUGGAAUGAAACAUGACUUUUGCUUCAGAGACAAAGAUUGAUCUGCCAUUCAAUCGCUUAGAAAUUUCUAUGAAUCACGUUGGUGCAGCUCGAAGACAGUGAAGAUUGCUGCUCUUAUCGAUGACCCAAAGCAUCAAAGAGCCUCACAGUACCCACUGGAUCCUACAGAAGAAACAACAGGCUUGGAAAGAUGAAGGAGCUGAGAGAAGCUCUGAAUGAUAACCAGCAAGGAAAUGGACUUUUAGACUCAUAACUACAAGCAACAUAACCCUGUCAACACUGUGAACAUGAAAGUUGAUUCUCUUCUAGAGUCUCCAAUAUGAAAAACAGCCUUACCAGCAUCUUGGGGGGAGCCAGACUAAUAUGGUUUGAUGAAGGAAGACCCCUGAAGCAGUGGCCCAGGUGAUUCAACAUCCACGACACCUGGGGCAGUGCAGCCUUGAAGACUACUACAGCCAGGAUUUGGACAGGAAUGGUGCAAUUGCAUGUUGUUCAAUUUCCACGAGUUGGUUCAUUGUAGUAAUGAAUAUUUUAAAUUCAUCUUGUAUGAGUCAGCUCUGAACUGCUAGCUCUAUGAGAUGCUGGACCAAGCCAAAUAAGCUCAGAAGUACGAGCUUCAUAAGGAUAAAUUGUGAACUUUGAGAGGAGGAAAACAGUGGAAUAAAGAUAAGAGAGACAAAGAUGCAACUGAUACAGUCAUUAAGGGGAUGGCCAUUUCUACUCUGCUGUGGUGCUAAAACCCACAUAAUUCUCAAAUGCUGUCCCAAACUGACUUCUGAUGACACUACUCUGCCACUAAUGGAGAGUGGAAAACCUGCCUAUCCUCAUUUCCAUGUAUAUGAUAGGAACUUGGGAUUAUCAUUUACUAAGGAAUUAUGUGACCAUGUGACCCUGUGACCCCUUACCCAAACUCUUGAGGUUACUCACAAACUUUUCCUGGAGAGACAACAUACUCUUCUAAUCACCUCAGAGAAGGAGCCCAUGAGAGAACAAAGCAAUGAUUGCACCAGUGUCCAAUGUGGGCAAAUGUUUCACUUUGGAGAUAAUAUUGCAAUUCAGAGGAACAAGCCCAACAACAUCCUCACAUCAGCAUGCAUAUCACCCUUUUGUGACUAUGAAAGCAGGACCACACGAAAAGAUUCCAAUUCACAUAAAGAAUUAAUCCAAAUGGGCCUGUCAAUCACCUGGACAAGAAAACACCGCUCAAAGAGCCAUAACUGAAAGAAACAUGAUAUACAUGAAGACCAGCUAAGGUUUUGUAGGAUGGAAUCUGUUGAAGUGCUCGGCUAUGCUGCAGUAAUGAAUUAGCUCUUAAAUCUAAUGCAAGUUGGAGGAAUCUGAUGUGCACAUGUAUACUCUGAGAUGACUAAGUAAUCACACUGUCCAUUAUCUGAUUCUGCCACUUCAGCUGCAUAUACUUUAUAAUGAGAUGCUAUGGGAAGGAAGGCCUAGAGAAUCAUUUUCCCUUCCCUCCUCUCCUCCAAUUCCCUCCCCUGCCUCCCCGCUGCCACCCCCAUCCAUUCCUCCACUGUCUCCCUUCAGAAAGGGGCAGGCCUCCUAUGAGCAUCAACAAAGCAUGGCAACAUCAAGUUGAAGCAGGACCAAGCUGCCUCCCCCACCUGUAUCAAGGCUGGGAAAGGGUUCCCACAAGUCAGCUCAAGUGCCAGAGACAAACAAACCAAGUUACACUAUUGUCACACACAUGCAGAGAGCAUAGGGAAAUCUUUUUGGGCCCACUUGCUACCUGGAUUCUCUGGGACUGCAGAUUAUAUCAUGAUUUUCCAUGCUUUAUACAAUUUAAUAUCCAGUCAUGAGUCUUGCUUAAAUUUUUGGCUACCAGAGAAGUGCAACUCAAUACAACUCUGAGAUACCAUCUUACACUGACCAGAAUGGCUAAAGUGAAAAACACCAAUGACAGUCUAUGCUGGAGAGGAUGUGGAGGAAAAGGAACACUCCUCCAUUGCUGGU